rnacentral:rRNA from 1 species
CCUUUGCAGCCUCUUCAGAAGGGGUGCACCCGCGACAGUAAAUAAUGGGCUGCCUCGUGCAAGUCGGAGAGCAAUCUCCGGCAACACAACCAAAUUAACGGGGAAUCCCAAGCCUAGGCUUGGAUAAUCCGUAGCACAUUGCGUGUUCACAGGCUAAAUGGUUGUGGGUUCAGCUGCAAACUGGGCUUAAGAUAUAGUCGGGCCCCAUGGUAAAUCAUGGAGACUCAGCGUUCCGUAGGUCGCAACAGUUCAGCCUACCAAAGCAAAUCUUUCAAAGUUGCUAGUCUCUACCCGAGGCGACACGCUCAAUGUUGCGGAGAGGCCCUCUUCUCAGAGGGUAAUCCGCAGCCGGCCCCCCAAGGCUGGUUCAGAGACUCAAUGAGUGUGGGUUCGGCCAUUGGGCCGAGCUUAAGAUAGAGCCCGUCCCUGUAGGCAACUGCAGGGAAUCAACGGAACCUGCGGAAGGAUCAUUAAAGAAUCGGUGACCCUUGCGGUCCCAUUCUCACCCUUUGUAUACCAAACUUCAGUUGCUUUGGCUGGCCUUCGCGGGCUGGCCAGAGGACUCAAACCCUUGAAUCUUUGCUGUCUGAGUACUAUAUAAUAGUUAAAACUUUCAACAACGGAUCUCUUGGUUCUGGCAUCGAUGAAGAACGCAGCGAAAUGCGAUAAGUAAUGUGAAUUGCAGAAUUCAGUGAAUCAUCGAAUCUUUGAACGCACAUUGCGCCCUCUGGUAUUCCGGGGGGCAUGCCUGUUCGAGCGUCAUUACAACCCUCAAGCUUAGCUUGGUAUUGGGCUCGCCCUUCAUGGGCCUGCCUCAAAAUCAGUGGCGGCUCCGUCCAGUCUCAAGCGCAGUAAUACUCGUCGCUUGUUUGGCUCGGUCGGUGGCCUGCUAACAACCCCCAAUUUUACAAGGUGACCU